AGGACAGAUGCAGAAACCGUUUGAAGAUGCCACCUAUUCAAUGAAAGUGGGUGAGCUCAGUGAUAUAGUGGACACAGAUUCAGGUGUACACAUCAUAUUACGGACAGCAUAAAGAACGAACUAAAUGUGAACUUUAUUCAAAAAAAAAAAAAUAGAUCUGUCCCUUCUGAUGUCUCAAAACUUGGUGGAUUUAGUUGUUUACAGCAUGCUGAGUCCGCAGCAGUCUUAUGUUUACAGAGAGGAAAGAUUAUGUCUUUAAUUGUUGACAGUUACAGAUGCUAGACACAAGUUUGUGUAAGAUUAUGAAAAUAAAGCUCAUGCAAGCAUGAGUGUACAUUUCCCCUGCAAUAUAUAAUUUACCUUACCAAUUGUUUUACAGAAUCAAAUCUUAGUAGCAACAAUUUUAUGUUGUACAAUGUUAUGUAAGUGAAUUAAAUAAACUGUGCAAUUGAAAUU
rnacentral:misc_RNA from 1 species